rnacentral:rRNA from 1 species
GGGGAAUAUUGCACAAUGGAGGGAACUCUGAUGCAGCAACGCCGCGUGAAUGAUGAAGGCCUUCGGGUCGUAAAGUUCUUUGAUUGGGGACGAUAAUGACGGUACCCAAAAAACAAGCCACGGCUAACUACGUGCCAGCAGCCGCGGUAAUACGUAGGUGGCGAGCGUUGUCCGGAUUUACUGGGCGUAAAGGAUGCGUAGGUGGAAAUUUAAGUGGGGUGUGAAAUCCCCGGGCUCAACCCGGGAACUGCAUUCCAAACUGGAUUUCUUGAGUACAGGAGAGGAAAGCGGAAUUCCUAGUGUAGCGGUGAAAUGCGUAGAUAUUAGGAGGAACACCAGUGGCGAAGGCGGCUUUCUGGACUGUAACUGACACUGAGGCAUGAAAGCGUGGGUAGCAAAC